GUCCAAGUUACAGUUACAAAUGGAUAUUCCUUUUCCCGCUAAUCUCCAAAUGGGAAUCCUUGAUCAACGCACCGAUUUCUACUUCAUUUCAUCAAAUCUCCGCCAAACCCAAAGAUUACAAAUCCGUUCCCUUUGUCCAUUUGAUAUUCGUUCUAAAAUCAAUGGACACUUAGGAUUUGCAGAAAGGUAGUGAGUGACAGUUCCAUUAGAUCUCCAUUUGUUGGACAAGCUUUGCUUUACCUUCUUUCCGUUCUUGCCAUUUUUAAAUCCUUCAAUUGGGAUUUCUUUCUUUAUUCUCAUCGUCCCCUUUACUCUUCUCUUCAAUCUAUUCCAAUUCUGUUCGCAAAUUUUGGCUGUUUCUGAAAGAAUCCACAUAGGGUUUUGUUUUUUAGUGCGUUUUACCGGCUUCGAUUUGGUUUUCCGUGGGCGAUUGUUACAGAUGCUCUGCAAAUGGGGAAAGGGGAAGAUCAAAAUCUGCCGCAGCAGCACCGCCGUGAGGAUUCUUCUGGGUUUAUUUGUCGUGAAUGUUCGAUUUCGUUUUGUAGGGCUUCUACGGAGUUGAAUUUCAAGUGUUUGUUCGUUUUGAUUUUGGGAUUUGCGGUGUUUCUCCCUGGAUUCUUUUGGCUUCUUCCGCUUCAUGAAAGAAAUUUAGGGUUUGAGGCGAAAGACGCCAUUAAACUCAGUGCUACAGUUCAGGUGUAUUUCGUUCUCGAAAAGCCGGUCGAGGAGCUUCUCCCUCACAUCAAGAGAUUAGAGUUUGAUAUCAAUGGUGAAUUAGACAUACCAAACGUGAAGGUUUCCGUUCUGUCGAUGCACGAUUUAGGUGAGUCGAACAGGACUUACGUGGUUUUUGGUCUUCUUUCUGAAUACAUUACUACUCCAAUAAAUCCAGUGUCCUUAAGUCUGCUGAGAUCGUCUUUAUAUGACCUUUUCCUUCACAAAUCCAACCUUACUUUGACGACUUCGAUUUUUGGACAGCCAUCGGCAUUUCAAAUCCUCAAGUUUCCAGGGGGAAUCUCUAUAAUCCCGUUUCAACGUGCUUCGAUUUGGCAGUUUCCCCAGAUCGUAUUUAACUUCACUCUGACUAACUCCAUUUCUGAAAUACUCAACAAAUUUGCAAAGUUCAUGAGCCAGCUUAAGUUGGAAUUGUGUCUGAGGCCUUAUGAGAAUGUGUAUUUGCAAAUAACGAACAAGAUUGGCUCGACGAUGCAGCCCAUCGUAGUUGUUCAGGCUUCUAUUUCGUCGGAAUUGGGACGCAUAACGACGCAGAGAUUACAGCAGUUGGCUGCAAUCAUCAAUACCUCUUCCGAAAGAAAUCUCGGCCUUGAUUAUUCUGUUUUUGGAGAAGUCAAGGGCAUCAGUUUGUCUUCUUAUCCAAAGGGAACCUCCAUGGCUAUGCCACCGAGUUUUUCUCCAGCUCCUGCCCCAGCACCUGGUGAUCAUGUAGAACUACCGAGUGCCCCACACCCAUCGAGAUCUGCACGAUCACCUGCAAAUUGUUCCCCCCCUCGAGCAAAUUGUGAAACCUCGUCUCCAGCCCUUUCUAUGGUUCCUGCACCUUCCCUUCAUGAACAUUCAAUGCCUCCAAUCGUCUAUCCGAAGUCUACAAGACUGAUCGUCGUUCCUCCAGCUGAUCAACCCCGGGUAUCAUCUCCACGUGCAUCUCCGGUGCUGUUUCACUACAAACCAGGGAAAACAAAGGAAGAUUCGCAUAGAGUUUGGCAGCCCACACAUUCCUCACAUCGAGAUCAUGAUUGAAAAUCAAUCAGCACACAGUCGUCUGAAGGAUACGAAGAACACAAGAGGAUCGAGGUCCGAUCGGAAUCUCAUUUUUGGUUGUACCGAGUAAUAACAAACAGAGAAUCAUGGUUGAAGAGAAAGGAAAUGGAUGUGAGAUAUAGUGGAGAGUUAGAGCAUUUGAUAGAGCAAGGUAUCAUUGGAUCUUUAUGCUCUCUAUCUAAGCAAGGAAGCUUUUUUCACUCUCUUUCUUUCCUCCUACUCUUCUUCUUCUUCUUCCUUCCAUUACUGAUCUUAUAAAAGCUUCACAUCUCUUCCCAUGGCUUUCACUGCCAGCUUCACCCA